UCUGAUGUGAAAGCCCCCGGCUCAACCGGGGAGGGUCAUUGGAAACUGGGGAACUUGAGUGCAGAAGAGGAGAGUGGAAUUCCACGUGUAGCGGUGAAAUGCGUAGAGAUGUGGAGGAACACCAGUGGCGAAGGCGACUCUCUGGUCUGUAACUGACGCUGAGGAGCGAAAGCGUGGGGAGCGAACAGGAUUAGAUACCCUGGUAGUCCACGCCGUAAACGAUGAGUGCUAAGUGUUAGGGGGUUUCCGCCCCUUAGUGCUGCAGCUAACGCAUUAAGCACUCCGCCUGGGGAGUACGGUCGCAAGACUGAAACUCAAAGGAAUUGACGGGGGCCCGCACAAGCGGUGGAGCAUGUGGUUUAAUUCGAAGCAACGCGAAGAACCUUACCAGGUCUUGACAUCCUCUGACAAUCCUAGAGAUAGGACGUCCCCUUCGGGGGCAGAGUGACAGGUGGUGCAUGGUUGUCGUCAGCUCGUGUCGUGAGAUGUUGGGUUAAGUCCCGCAACGAGCGCAACCCUUGAUCUUAGUUGCCAGCAUUCAGUUGGGCACUCUAAGGUGACUGCCGGUGACAAACCGGAGGAAGGUGGGGAUGACGUCAAAUCAUCAUGCCCCUUAUGACCUGGGCUACACACGUGCUACAAUGGACAGAACAAAGGGCAGCGAAACCGCGAGGUUAAGCCAAUCCCACAAAUCUGUUCUCAGUUCGGAUCGCAGUCUGCAACUCGACUGCGUGAA
rnacentral:rRNA from 1 species